GGGUCUACCCAUUGGUCAGGCUUAAUUGUCUGUACUGGUGAGAUGGAUCUCUACCUUCUGAGGAACUUUCAUGCCAUUUAUUUGGUGCGGUUGGAAAUCAGGACUGUUACUUUGAAAAAAUUAGAGUGUUUAAAGCAGACUAUCGUCUGAAUACAUUAGCAUGGAAUAAUGAAAUAGGACGGACUGAUUCUAUUUCGUUGGUUUCUAGAGUCGCCGCA
rnacentral:rRNA from 1 species